rnacentral:sRNA from 1 species
GCUGGGCAUGGUGGCAGAUGCCUGUAAUCCCUGCAGCUUGGGAGGCUGAGGCAGGAGGACCACAAGUUCAAAGCCAGCCUCAGCAAAAGCAAAGGUGCUAAGCAACUCAGUGAGUCCCUGUCUCUA